rnacentral:rRNA from 1 species
UACAGAGGGUGCAAGCGUUAAUCGGAAUUACUGGGCGUAAAGCGUGCGUAGACGGUUAUGUAAGUCGGGUGUGAAAGCCCCGGGCUCAACCUGGGAAUUGCAUUCGAGACUGCAUAGCUAGGGUGCGGAAGAGGGAAGCGGAAUUUCCGGUGUAGCGGUGAAAUGCGUAGAUAUCGGAAGGAACACCGGUGGCGAAGGCGGCGACCUGGGUAGAUACUGACGCUGAGGUGCGAAAGCGUGGGGAGCAAACAGG